CCUACGGGUGGCAGCAGUGGGGAAUAUUGGACAAUGGGCGAAAGCCUGAUCCAGCCAUGCCGCGUGUGUGAAGAAGGCCUUCGGGUUGUAAAGCACUUUCAGUGGGGAAGAAAGCCUUGGGGCUAAUACCCUCGAGGAAGGACAUCACCCACAGAAGAAGCACCGGCUAACUCCGCUGCCAGCAGCCGCGGUAAUACGGAGGGUGCGGGCGUUAAUCGGAAUUACUGGGCGUAAAGCGCGCGUAGGCGGUCUGAUAAGCCGGUUGUGAAAGCCCCGGGCUCAACCUGGGAACGGCAUCCGGAACUGUCAGGCUAGAGUGCAGGAGAGGAAGGUAGAAUUCCCGGUGUAGCGGUGAAAUGCGUAGAGAUCGGGAGGAAUACCAGUGGCGAAGGCGGCCUUCUGGACUGACACUGACGCUGAGGUGCGAAAGCGUGGGUAGCAAACAGGAUUAGAUACCCCGGUAGUC
rnacentral:rRNA from 1 species